AUUGAACGCUGGCGGCAGGCCUAACACAUGCAAGUCGAACGGUAACAGGGAUCAGCUUGCUGAUUCGCUGACGAGUGGCGGACGGGUGAGUAAUGUCUGGGAAACUGCCUGAUGGAGGGGGAUAACUACUGGAAACGGUAGCUAAUACCGCAUAACGUCGCAAGACCAAAGAGGGGGACCUUCGGGCCUCUUGCCAUCGGAUGUGCCCAGAUGGGAUUAGCUAGUAGGUGGGGUAACGGCUCACCUAGGCGACGAUCCCUAGCUGGUCUGAGAGGAUGACCAGCCACACUGGAACUGAGACACGGUCCAGACUCCUACGGGAGGCAGCAGUGGGGAAUAUUGCACAAUGGGCGCAAGCCUGAUGCAGCCAUGCCGCGUGUAUGAAGAAGACCUUCGGGUUGUAAAGUACUUUCAGCGGGGAGGAAGGGAGUAAAGUUAAUACCUUUGCUCAUUGACGUUACCCGCAGAAGAAGCACCGGCUAACCCCGUG
rnacentral:rRNA from 1 species